UACAGAGGGUGCGAGCGUUGUUCGGAAUUAUUGGGCGUAAAGGGCGCGUAGGCGGCGCCACAAGUCACCUGUGAAAACUCUGGGCUCAACCCAGAGCCUGCAGGCGAAACUGUGGUGCUGGAGUAUGGGAGAGGUGCGUGGAAUUCCCGGUGUAGCGGUGAAAUGCGCAGAUAUCGGGAAGAACACCCGUGGCGAAGGCGGCUCUCUGGGACGGUACUGACGCUGAGACGCGAAAGCGUGGGGAGCGAACAGG
rnacentral:rRNA from 1 species